GAUGAACGCUGGCGGCGUGCUUAACACAUGCAAGUCGAACGAUGAAGCCCAGCUUGCUGGGUGGAUUAGUGGCGAACGGGUGAGUAACACGUGAGUAACCUGCCCUUAACUCUGGGAUAAGCCUGGGAAACUGGGUCUAAUACCGGAUAGGAGCGUCCACCGCAUGGUGGGUGUUGGAAAGAUUUAUCGGUUUUGGAUGGACUCGCGGCCUAUCAGCUUGUUGGUGAGGUAAUGGCUCACCAAGGCGACGACGGGUAGCCGGCCUGAGAGGGUGACCGGCCACACUGGGACUGAGACACGGCCCAGACUCCUACGGGAGGCAGCAGUGGGGAAUAUUGCACAAUGGGCGAAAGCCUGAUGCAGCGACGCCGCGUGAGGGAUGACGGCCUUCGGGUUGUAAACCUCUUUCAGUAGGGAAGAAGCGAAAGUGACGGUACCUGCAGAAGAAGCACCGGCUAACUACGUGCCAGCAGCCGCGGUAAUACGUAGGGUGCGAGCGUUAUCCGGAAUUAUUGGGCGUAAAGAGCUCGUAGGCGGUUUGUCGCGUCUGUCGUGAAAGUCCGGGGCUUAACCCCGGAUCUGCGGUGGGUACGGGCAGACUAGAGUGCAGUAGGGGAGACUGGAAUUCCUGGUGUAGCGGUGGAAUGCGCAGAUAUCAGGAGGAACACCGAUGGCGAAGGCAGGUCUCUGGGCUGUAACUGACGCUGAGGAGCGAAAGCAUGGGGAGCGAACAGGAUUAGAUACCCUAGUAGUCCAUGCCGUAAACGUUGGGCACUAGGUGUGGGGACCAUUCCACGGUUUCCGUGCCGCAGCUAACGCAUUAAGUGCCCCGCCUGGGGAGUACGGCCGCAAGGCUAAAACUCAAAGGAAUUGACGGGGGCCCGCACAAGCGGCGGAGCAUGCGGAUUAAUUCGAUGCAACGCGAAGAACCUUACCAAGGCUUGACAUGUUCUCGAUCGCCGUAGAGAUACGGUUUCCCCUUUGGGGCGGGUUCACAGGUGGUGCAUGGUUGUCGUCAGCUCGUGUCGUGAGAUGUUGGGUUAAGUCCCGCAACGAGCGCAACCCUCGUUCCAUGUUGCCAGCACGUCGUGGUGGGGACUCAUGGGAGACUGCCGGGGUCAACUCGGAGGAAGGUGAGGACGACAUCAAAUCAUCAUGCCCCUUAUGUCUUGGGCUUCACGCAUGCUACAAUGGCCGGUACAAUGGGUUGCGAUACUGUGAGGUGGAGCUAAUCCCAAAAAGCCGGUCUCAGUUCGGAUUGGGGUCUGCAACUCGACCCCAUGAAGUCGGAGUCGCUAGUAAUCGCAGAUCAGCAACGCUGCGGUGAAUACGUUCCCGGGCCU
rnacentral:rRNA from 1 species